rnacentral:rRNA from 1 species
CGAUUCUGGCUCAGAACGAACGCUGGCGGCGCGUCUUAAGCAUGCAAGUCGAACGGCAAGAGGUAGCAAUACCUCCUAGAGUGGCGGACUGGUGAGUAACACGUGGGUGACAUACCCUUCAGAUGGGGAUAGCUAUUAGAAAUAGUAGAUAAUACCGAAUACGAGCACAGGGGUUAGAGAUCUGUGAGGAAAGGAGCUAAGGCUCCGCUGAAGGAAUGGCCUGCGGCCCAUUAGCUAGUUGGUGAGGUAAGAGCCCACCAAGGCGAUGAUGGGUAUCCGGCCUUAGAGGGUGAACGGACACAUUGGGACUGAGAUACGGCCCAGACUCCUACGGGAGGCAGCAGCUAAGAAUAUUCCGCAAUGGACGAAAGUCUGACGGAGCGACGCCGCGUGGAUGAAGAAGGCCGGAAGGUUGUAAAAUCCUUUUGAAACUGAAGAAUAAGCGUUGUAGGGAAUGACAGCGUGGUGACAGUAGGUUUUGAAUAAGCAACGGCUAAUUACGUGCCAGCCGCAGC